UACGAACUGUGCAAACGUUAUUCGGAUUCACUGGGCUUAAAGGGUGCGUAGGCGGCCAUGUAAGUAGGGUGUGAAAUCCCCCGGCUUAACCGGGGAACUGCGCCCUAAACUGUGUGGCUUGAGUGAGAUAGGGGUGUGUGGAACUUCCGGUGGAGCGGUGAAAUGUGUUGAUAUUGGAAGGAACGCCGGUGGCGAAGGCGACACACUGGACCUUGUCUGACGCUGAGGCACGAAAGCCAGGGGAGCAAACCAGG
rnacentral:rRNA from 1 species